rnacentral:lncRNA from 1 species
CCUGAACCCAAGAUGACUGGUGUCUUUACAGGAAGAGGAGAGACAGACGCAGAGAGGAGACUCCCAUGUGGUAAAGGAGACACAGGGAAUUUGUAUUGGCAGAGGCAGAGAUUGGAAGGAAGCACCGGGGGAGCCAAAGGAAACUAGGAGAGAAGGAAGGAAGGAUUGUCUCCCGAUGCUCCCAGGAAGCCCAGCCCAGACAUCUGCAGUGUAGACACAGACUCCACAACGUGACAGAAUGUGUUUCUAUUGCUGCCAGCUACCCCGUUUGUGACCAUUUGUUACGGCAGCCCCAGGAAAUGAGUGUGGUCUAUUUUUACCUGUAUCUCCAGUCUUCGUCUGGGUUCAUGCCUGAUUGCACCCUAGCUUAUAUGUGAUUGUUCAUCUCUGGGGAUUGCCCACCUCUGCCCCCCGAAAAAGAACUAGGCCAUCAAAUGUGAGUUCUCUGACAGAAUUCUCCCCCAUUAUCUGUGAUUUUGGCUGCCUGUGCUCAAUAGCGUCCUGGAAGCCGAUGCUCCUGCUUAUGUAUUGCAAAGGGAACGAGGCCGACCAAGAAUCACGGUGCUGUUCAUUUCAGACAUGGGAGCAGAAGACAAGAUUUCAGACUCAUACACACUGCGACCCCAUGCCCGACUUCAAAAAAACAGUGAUUCAUCCAGACACCAAAGCUCAGCAGCUCAGAGUCAACCUCAAAUAUAGUCAAAGCUCACCAAGUGCUCCCCCAAGAAAAAUAGAACCUAAGUGCCUGACGACCUUUACCGCAGGCAUAUUUUUAGGGACGUGCCUAUCCCGUAUACUUCUUGCUCCCUCACGUAGAAGGAAAUCUCUAGAAUAACACCUCCAACUGAGCCUCUCUUCCUCCAACUCUCUUGCUCCCCAGCCGAAUUAUGGAAUCAUUUCAGGGUUUGCUUUAGAAGAAGGAGUGAAGAACCGUAUCCAUUUGCCCAUUACUCACCAUGCAUAUUCCUUCCAGCUGCCGCUGGGGUCUGACUCUUCCAAACUGCUUCCGCUUUCAAAGCCAAUACUGGAAGCACUAAUGUCAAUAAAACCAAUUAAGUUGAUUGACUGCUGUGAAUA